rnacentral:rRNA from 1 species
UACGUAGGGGGCAAGCGUUGUCCGGAUUUACUGGGCGUAAAGGGCGCGUAGGCGGUGCGGUAAGUCACCUGUGAAACCUCUAGGCUCAACCUAGAGCCUGCAGGCGAAACUGCCGUGCUUGAGGGUGGGAGAGGUGCGUGGAAUUCCCGGUGUAGCGGUGAAAAUGCGUAGAUAUCGGGAGGAACACCUGUGGCGAAAAGCGGCGCACUGG